ensembl:lncRNA
GUAGACCUUACAGUGAAAUGCUGAAUACAACAGGUGUAGGUAGACCUUACAGUGAAAUGCUGAAUACAACAGGUGUAGGUAGACCUUACAGUGAAAUGCUGAAUACAGCAGGUGUAGGUAGACCUUACAGUGAAAUGCUGAAUACAACAGGUGUAGGUAGACCUUACAGUGAAAUGCUGAAUACAACAGGUGUAGUAGACCUUACAGUGAAAUGCUGAAUACAACAGGUGUAGUAGACCUUACAGUGAAAUGCUGAAUACAGCAGGUGUAGUAGACCUUACAGUGAAAUGCUGAAUACAACAGGUGUAGGUAGACCUUACAGUGAAAUGCUGAAUACAGCAGGUGUAGUAGACCUUACAGUGAAAUGCUGAAUACAACAGGUGUAGUAGACCUUACAGUGAAAUGCUGAAUACAACAGGUGUAGGUAGACCUUACAGUGAAAUGCUGAAUACAACAGGUGUAG